AAUCAACGCUGGCGGCGUGCCUCAGACAUGCAAGUCGAACGCUGCUGUUCGCCUUCGGGUGGACAGCGGAGUGGCGCACGGGUGAGUAACACGUAGGUAAUCUACCUUUGGGUGGGAAUAACAGCCGGAAACGGCUGCUAAUACCGCAUAAUGCAGCGGCAUCACAUGAUGACAGUUGUUAAAGCGAGGGAUCGUAAGACCUCGCGCCUGAAGAGGAGCCUGCGGCAGAUUAGGUAGUUGGUGAGGUAAUGGCUCACCAAGCCUGCGAUCUGUAACCGGCCUGAGAGGGCGGUCGGUCACACUGACACUGACAUACGGGUCAGACUCCUACGGGA
rnacentral:rRNA from 1 species